CAGAGGGGGCAAGCGUUGUUCGGAAUUACUGGGCGUAAAGGGCGCGUAGGCGGCCUUCUAAGUCGAACGUGAAAUCCCUGGGCUCAACCCAGGAACUGCGUCCGAUACUGGAAGGCUUGAAUCCGGGAGAGGGAUGCGGAAUUCCAGGUGUAGCGGUGAAAUGCGUAGAUAUCUGGAGGAACACCGGUGGCGAAGGCGGCAUCCUGGACCGGUAUUGACGCUGAGGCGCGAAAGCCAGGGGAGCAAACGGGAUUAGAUACCCCGGUAGUCCUGGCCCUAAACGAUGAAUGCUUGGUGUGGCGGGUAUCGAUCCCUGCCGUGCCGAAGCUAACGCAUUAAGCAUUCCGCCUGGGGAGUACGGUCGCAAGGCUG
rnacentral:rRNA from 1 species